rnacentral:rRNA from 1 species
GAGUUUGAUCCUGGCUCAGGAUGAACGCUGGCGGCGUGCUUAACACAUGCAAGUCGAGCGAAGCACUUUUGCUGAUUUCUUCGGAUUGAAGCAAUUGUGACUGAGCGGCGGACGGGUGAGUAACGCGUGGGUAACCUGCCUCAUACAGGGGGAUAACAGUUGGAAACGGCUGCUAAUACCGCAUAAGCGCACAGUACCGCAUGGUACCGUGUGAAAAACUCCGGUGGUAUGAGAUGGACCCGCGUCUGAUUAGCCAGUUGGCAGGGUAACGGCCUACCAAAGCGACGAUCAGUAGCCGACCUGAGAGGGUGACCGGCCACAUUGGGACUGAGACACGGCCCAAACUCCUACGGGAGGCAGCAGUGGGGAAUAUUGCACAAUGGGGGAAACCCUGAUGCAGCGACGCCGCGUGAGCGAAGAAGUAUUUCGGUAUGUAAAGCUCUAUCAGCAGGGAAGAAGAAUGACGGUACCUGACUAAGAAGCACCGGCUAAAUACGUGCCAGCCGCCGCGGUAAUAC